rnacentral:misc_RNA from 1 species
GAUGAAGAACGUAGCGAAAUGCGAUAAGUAGUGUGAAUUGCAGAAUUCAGUGAAUCAUCGAAUCUUUGAACGCACAUUGCGCCCUUUGGUAUUCCUUAGGGCAUGCCUGUUCGAGCGUCAUUUAAACCUUCAAGCUCAGCUUGGUGUUGGGUGACUGUCCGCUUCACCGCGGACUCGCCUCAAAAUUAUUGGCGGCCGGUACAUUGGCUUCGAGCGCAGCAGAAACGCGAACUCGGGUCCGUCGUAUUGGCUCCCAGAAGCUAUCUUCACAAUUUUGACCUCGGAUCAGGUAGGGAUACCCGCUGAACUUAAGCAUAUCAAUAAGCGGAGGA